rnacentral:rRNA from 1 species
CCUACGGGUGGCAGCAGUGGGGAAUAUUGCACAAUGGGGGAAACCCUGAUGCAGCGACGCCGCGUGAGCGAUGAAGUAUUUCGGUAUGUAAAGCUCUAUCAGCAGGGAAGAAAAUGACGGUACCUGACUAAGAAGCCCUGGCUAACUACGUGCCAGCAGCCGCGGUAAUACGUAGGGGGCAAGCGUUAUCCGGAUUUACUGGUUGUAAAGGGAGCGUAGACGGCGGUGCAAGUCAGAUGUGAAAGCCCGGUGCGCAACCCCGGGACUGCAUUUGGAACUGUGCUGCUAGAGUGUCGGAGAGGCAGGCGGAAUUCCUAGUGUAGCAGUGAAAUGCGUAGAUAUUAGGAGGAACACCAGUGGCGAAGGCGACCAGCUGGACGAUGACUGACGUUGAGGCUCGAAAGCGUGGGGAGCAAACAGGAUUAGAUACCCCUGUAGUC